AAUAGAAUAUUUCAUUGUAGAGUGAAAUAUAGAGUUGAUUGUUGAAGAGCAAAACUAAAUUACUCUACAUUUCACUCUACAAUAGAGUAAAGUUCACUCUAAUGUAGAGUGAACCAUUGGAGAUGCUCUAAAGCCAACAAAUAUAGUGUAAAAGGAAACUUCUCACCAAAGUAAAGAUCAAGGAAAGCAAGAUCUUCAUCAUGUCGGCGCUUGUAUGUGUCCUUUCUAGAACUGGCUGCUCCUCCGUCUCCAAGAAUGUCGUCCACCCUUCCGACUCCAAAUCCUCGCUAUUUUCGCCGAAAUCCCCAUCGGACCAUGGUGACAAUGAGUCGACGACAACGAGGCCAGUGAGAUCGUCCUCUGGCCCCAGCGAAUCGAGAGUCAAGAUCGGUGAAUCGAUGGUCAACGGUUUUGCUAAAAAAAAAAAAGCACCGAUGAGUGGGGGAACACGACGCCGCUCAGAGAGGUGACAGACUUCAAAUGACGCUAGAGUGUCGGAGGUGAGGUCCUCCUUAUCAUUGUAGACGGCGGGUCGGUGGAGGCAGCGGCGGUUUGCACCCCUCGUGAAACGGAGAACACAAUGGCUCCGCCUUGACAACAAGGCCGGUGGGAAAGAAAUCGGAGGGUACAGAUCCAAGGAUCGACGAUGAAGAGCUGGAAGAUUCUUGACCUUUCAUGGCGUGGUGCGACAGGUUAGAGAGAGACGAGAGAGAAAUGAAUUGGAAACCCUUGAGUGCAGCUAGG